UAUUGCACAAUGGGCGCAAGCCUGAUGCAGCUAUGUCGCGUGUAUGAAGAAGACCUUAGGGUUGUAAAGUACUUUCGAUAGCAUAAGAAGAUAAUAAAAUUAAUAAUUUUAUUGUCAGACGUUAGCUAUAGAAGAAGCACCGGCUAACUCCGUGCCAGCAGCCGCGGUAAUACGGGGGGUGCUAGCGUUAAUCGGAAUUACUGGGCGUAAAGAGCAUGUAGGUGGUUUAUUAAGUCAGAUGUGAAAUCCCUAGACUUAAUUUAGGAACUGCAUUUGAAACUAAUAGGCUAGAGUUUCGUAGAGGGAGGUAGAAUUCUAGGUGUAGCGGUGAAAUGCAUAGAUAUCUAGAGGAAUAUCAGUGGCGAAGGCGGCCUCCUGGACGAUAACUGACGCUCAAAUGCGAAAGCAUGGGUAGCAAACAGGAUUAGAUACCCUGGUAGUCCAUGCUGUAAACGAUGUCGACUAAGAGGUUGGAAGCAAGACUUUUAAUCUCUGUAGCUAACGCGUUAAGUCGACCGCCUGGGGAGUACGGUCGCAAGGCUAAAACUCAAAUGAAUUGACGGGGGCCUGCACAAGCGGUGGAGCAUGUGGUUUAAUUCGAUGCAACGCGUAAGACCUUACCUGGUCUUGACAUCCACAAAAUUUUACAGAAAUGUAGAAGUGCAAUUUGAAUUGUGAGACAGGUGCUGCAUGGCUGUCGUCAGCUCGUGUUGUGAAAUGUUGGGUUAAGUCCCGCAACGAGCGCAACCCUUGUUCUUUGUUGCCAUAGAAUUUUAUUUAUUCAGGAACUCAAAGGAGACUGCCAGUGAUAAACUGGAGGAAGGUGGGGACGACGUCAAGUCAUCAUGGCCCUUAUGACCAGGGCUACACACGUGCUACAAUGGCAUAUACAAAGAGAUGCAAUAUUGCAAAAUAAAGCCAAUCUUAUAAAAUAUGUCUUAGUUCGGACUGGAGUCUGCAACUCGACUCCACGAAGUCGGAAUCGCUAGUAAUCGUGGAUCAGCAUGCCACGGUGAAUAUGUUUCCAGGCCUUGUACACACCGCCCGUCACACCAUGGGAGUGGUUUGCAAAAGAAGUAAGAAAAUUAACCUUCUUAACAAGGAAAUAACUUACCACUUUGUGACUCAUAA
rnacentral:rRNA from 1 species